GUCUGUCUGUCUCUCUCUCUGUCUAUAUGUAUGGUGGUUGGGGUCGUACUUAGCUGCAGCGUUGGCGACGAGGACAGGUCGUUUCCGGUUGACGUGCUGCUUGGACAACUCCUCAAGAGUCAUGACCUUAUCCCCCGGACGAACCUAGUGCCGAGGCAGGAGAACACGGGUUGGGAAAGGUAUACCGCAAAGUGUCAUUCACACGCACCGGGCCGGCAUCGUAGAAGCCAUCUGUGGUGAUGUCUGUGGAGGCCAGGCGUCCCGUCACACAGUAUUUAACCGACAGGUUGGAGGCCAAUAGCCUGAACAUCGCCAUCUCGCUGAAUCGGUUCCUGCGGUUCGGGGAUUCAUUGAUCUCCUGGAGCGAUUCCAACGCCCUGAGGAACGCCACAGAAACGAGCAGUUUCUAAGCUGUUCUCGAUUCUGUCAACACUCACAAUGUAUGGGAUAGAGCACAGAUGCAAUCACUCUUGUGCCAUCUGCUGGUCGGACAUGAGCACGUGGUCUUACCCGAGCUUGCAGAGCUCCACUGACGUGGCCUCCUCGUUGGCGCAGACGCUGAUGGCCCAGCAGGCAUUGCUACGGACCUCCUUGUGACGUGAGCUAAGGAGGCGGACAAGUG